AUUGAACGCUGGCGGCAUGCUUUACACAUGCAAGUCGAACGGCAGCACGGACUUCGGUCUGGUGGCGAGUGGCGAACGGGUGAGUAAUACAUCGGAACGUACCCAGUAAUGGGGGAUAACUAUCCGAAAGGAUAGCUAAUACCGCAUACGCCCUACGGGGGAAAGAGGGGGAUCGCAAGACCUCUUGUUAUUGGAGCGGCCGAUGGCUGAUUAGCUAGUUGGUGAGGUAAAGGCUCACCAAGGCGACGAUCAGUAGCGGGUCUUAGAGGACGAUCCGCCACACUGGAACUGAGACACGGUCCAGACUCCUACGGGAGGCAGCAGUGGGGAAUCUUGGACAAUGGGCGCAAGCCUGAUCCAGCAAUGCCGCGUGCGUGAAGAAGGCCUUCGGGUUGUAAAGCGCUUUUGUCAGGGAGCAAAUCCUUGUGGCUAAUACCCACCGGGGAUGAGAGUACCUGAAGAAUAAGGACCGGCUAACUACGUGCCAGCCGCCGCAGUAA
rnacentral:rRNA from 1 species